UAGUCCACGCCGUAAACGAUGUCAACUAGCCGUUGGGUCCAUUUAAGGGCUGAGUGGCGAAGCUAACGCGAUAAGUUGACCGCCUGGGGAGUACGCCGGCAACGGUAAAACUCAAAGGAAUUGACGGGGCCCGCACAAGCGGUGGAGCAUGUGGUUUAAUUCGAUGCAACGCGAAAAACCUUACCUACCCUUGACAUCCUCGGAACUUGUCAGAGAUGACUCGGUGCCUUCGGGAACCGAUGGACAGGUGCUGCAUGGCUGUCGUCAGCUCGUGUCGUGAGAUGUUGGGUUAAGUCCCGCAACGAGCGCAACCCUUGUCCCUAGUUGCCAGCACAUUAUGGUGGGAACUCUAGGGAGACUGCCGGUGACAAACCGGAGGAAGGUGGGGAUGGACGUCAAGUCAUCAUGGGCCCUUACGGGGUAGGGGCUACACACGUGCUACAAUGGGUCGGUACAGAGGGGUUGCGGAAGCCGG
rnacentral:rRNA from 1 species